CUACGGGGCGCUGCAGUAAGGAAUAUUGGUCAAUGGACGAAAGUCUGAACCAGCCAUGCCGCGUGAAGGAUUAAGGUCCUCUGGAUUGUAAACUUCUUUUAUAUGGGACGAAAAAAGGUCUUUCUAGAUCACUUGACGGUACCAUAUGAAUAAGCACCGGCUAACUCCGUGCCAGCAGCCGCGGUAAUACGGAGGGUGCAAGCGUUAUCCGGAUUCACUGGGUUUAAAGGGUGCGUAGGCGGGCAGGUAAGUCAGUGGUGAAAUCCUGGAGCUCAACUCCAGAACUGCCAUUGAUACUAUCUGUCUUGAAUAUUGUGGAGGUAAGCGGAAUAUGUCAUGUAGCGGUGAAAUGCUUAGAUAUGACAUAGAACACCCAUUGCGAAGGCAGCUUACUACGCAUAUAUUGACGCUGAGGCACGAAAGCGUGGGGAUCAAACAGGAUUAGAUACCCCAGUAGUC
rnacentral:rRNA from 1 species